rnacentral:rRNA from 1 species
UACGGAGGGUGCAAGCGUUAUCCGGAUUCACUGGGUUUAAAGGGUGCGUAGGUGGAAUGGUAAGUCAGUGGUGAAAUCUCCAAGCUUAACUUGGAAACUGCCGUUGAUACUAUCAUUCUUGAAUAUCGUGGAGGUGAGCGGAAUAUGUCAUGUAGCGGUGAAAUGCUUAGAUAUGACAUAGAACACCAAUUGCGAAGGCAGCUCACUACACAAUCAUUGACUCUGAGGCACGAAAGCGUGGGGAUCAAACAGG